rnacentral:lncRNA from 1 species
CGGCAGGGCGGCAGGGCGCGGUGGUUUUCGCCUGUAAUCCCAGCUCUUUGGGAAGCCGAGGCAGGCGGAUCACGAGGUCAGGAGAUCGAGACUAUCCUGGCUAACACGGUGAAACCCCGUCUCUACUAAAAAUACAAAAAAUUAGCCGCGCGUGGUGGCGGGCGCCUGUAGUCCCAACUACUCGGGAGGCUGAGGCAGUCUUGAACCCCGGAGGCGGAGGUUGCAGUGAGCCGAGAUCGCGCCACUGCACUCCAGCCUGGGCGACAGAGGGAGACUCUGUCUCAAAAAAAAAAAAAAAGAAGAAGAAGAAGAAGAAGAAAGAAGAAAGAAGAAGAAAGAGAGGCAGGGCGCUGCGCACCUCGCCGGGCGUGCGGGGACGUUGUAGUCUCUUAACGGCUCCCGGCUCUCUGGUCGCCUGGCUGCAGGACUACAAUUCCAGCAGGCACCGGGCUCAGUGGGAGGGGCAGGGUGGUGUGGACCUGGCAAAGCAGUGCUGCCCGCUCACCCCCUGCUGCCCUGUCUCCAUGGGGAGUGAGUUUGGAGAGAGAUAUAAGGGAUAAAUCUGGGCUUUUGCCCAAAUCUGGCAGGUCCUACCUCCGGCUGAGCAGCUCUUCCUCUCUUUAUCCUUAUCCGCUGGUUUUUCCAUGGCAUCGCGCCUCCUUCAGCCCAUGGAGCCGCCUGCUUUCCUAAACUACUACAGAAACUGGCCUGAUGGCUGUCUGAGACAUUGUACAUUGUGCCACCGGCCUCUGCUUACUCCAGGCAGAGCGCCAGUUCAGCAGCAUUUGGGAGAAAUUUGCUGCCUGGGCCGCCCGUAAACAACUUGAGCUUUGCAGUGGGUAACAUGGGCUGUGGUUUGGUGAAAAUGUCAACCUCACUGACCCCUUUUUCGUGGAAGUAGAAGUCGAGACAUGAGGGAGAGUAAUUAUUGGCUUACCCGGGAUCUGCUAAAAGCAGAGGAGAAAGCCCCAGUGUUUCCAGGCAUGUGUCUGGGUGGGCCAUUUUUACCAACCCAUUUAAGGGGCUAGGCCUCCAAAAAUCAACCUAAAGGUAAUGAUUGUUUUGAUAUUUUACACAUGUGAUCAUGGCUUCAUCUCACCUUAGACCUGACUGGCCAGUGUCUCAAAGACAUAGAUGGUGACCAGCUCUCUCUGGAACAGAUGGCACUCCAGCUUUGUGGGAGCAACUUUCAAGAAAAGAUUAAGACAUCACUGGGCCAAGCACCCACAUGAUGUCACUCGCCUGCCUGCAUUCUGCCUACAGUGGGUAUUGUGACAUAUCCCUGGCACAGAACCAAGAGUCUCGCUCUGUCACUCAGGCUGGAGUGCAGUGGCAUGAUCUCAGCCCGCUGCAACCUUCGCCUUCCAGGUUCAAGCAGUUCUCCUGCCUCAGCUCUUGGACAAAACUUCAGCACUCCUGCUAGGGUGUGUCUGCCCUACUAAGACACUGUGCGCAGGUGGAGUUGAGGCUCUUAUGUAUGGAUCCUGUCCACUGUUGAGAUUGUGAAUUGCAUGUGUAGACUCAACUCACAGGAGGUGUUGACUCACAAACCUCCAGCUGGGACAUGUGCAGGAUUAGAAAUUUUAUUUCUGGAUCUUUCUUCAGAAGGCGUUGUAACAUCUCACUAAGCCCAGCACUCAGGCGAUGUGGCUUUCCUGCUAUGGCACUGCACACAAGAAGAAUGUUGACAUAUUCCUGGCCCAGAAUUCAGGUGAUGUGACUCUUGCCUGAUCCACACCCAGAGGUGAAAUUUUUACAUAUACCCAGGCCCAGUUAGUGGACAUGAUAAUGACCCUCAUACAUAGACUCAACCAAAACAACAGAUUUUUUUACUCUUCUGGCUAGACUUAGGGACACAGGUAAGGUUCUGGGUUUUCUUAUAAAAGGUCAUGGGAGAUUAUGACACAAAUAUUUUACAAAGCCCUUGGGUGGUAUAAGCUAUGUCAUAACACGGUCCAACACGCAGGUGAGAUUGUGACUCCCAUAGGUGCACCCAGCCAACAAUGGGAUUGUCACCCUUAAACCUAGACACAGCCCACUGGUGAGGUUAUAAAUCUCACAUAUGGAUGCAGACCACAGUUGGAAUCGUGACUGUCGUAUGUGGAUUUGGCCACAGGUCAAAGGGAAGUCAUUUCUUGACUAACUCACAGGCACAGUGUUGUCUCUUACACUUGAACCAAGCUAACAGAAGAGACGUUCACUCUCAUUGUUACGCUUGGGAAAAUGGGGAUGGUUCUGGGUUUUCUACUUGUACAAAGGUCACAAAAAAAAUCACAACACAUACAACAUAAAAUCACAUACAGUAUAAUGCCCUGUGGUGGUACAGAGAGUGUCAACACAGCCCAAUACAAAGUUGAGACUUAUUCUCAUACCCACAGCCAGCUGACAGUAAGAAUUGUCACCCACACAUGUGGGCAGAUCCCACUAGUGACAUCCUGACUUUGCCUUGUGGACACAGUUCACAGUUGAAAUUGUGACUGUCAUAUGCAGAUCUGACCACAGGUAAGAUUGUGACUCAUUUCUGGACCCAGCUCACAAACAUGGUGAUGACUCUCAUAGCUGGACCCAGACAAGAGAAAUUAUGUUGACUUCUGCCUGGGCUUAGGGUAACGGGUAAGAUCUUGGAUCCAUAAAAACAUAAAGUUCUCAGAGCAGAAUUCCACUCUCAAGCAUGUUGUGUGAAGAUCUCAGAUGGUACAAAGAGUGUCAUAACAGAGCCAAAAACAUAGAGGAAAUUGUGAAUCUCCUAUGCAUACCUAGCCAACAAUGAGGAUAGUCACUCUCCCAUAUAGACACAGCUCACUGUUGAGGUUCUGAAUCUCGUGCCCAGAGGCAAUGAAAAGUUGAAAGUUUGACUCACAUACAUGCAUCUGGUCAACAGGUAGGAUAGUGACUCUGAGACCAAGAUUCAGCACCCUGGUGAGGCUGUGCCUAUCUUAUGGGGACUCUGUUUGAAGGUGGAGAUGGAGCUCUCAUGCACGGAUCCUGUCCGAUGUUAAGACUGUGUCUCGUGUAUUUGGAUGCAACUCACAAGAGGUGUUGACUCUCAGACCUAAAGCUGGGAAAUAUGUAGAAUUGUGAAAUUUAUUCCUGGUCCUUCCCGCAGGUGUGAUUGUGGCGUAUAUGUUCACACAGCACUUAAUUUAUUUUACAAUUUGUUUGAACUCAGCCAACUGUUGGGACUGUGACAUAUACCUGGACCAAGUUCCUAGGUGAUGUAACUCUCCAGCCUGGGCCUUACCACAGGGUACAUUGUGACAUAUCUUUGGACUUAUCACCUAUGUGAUGUGACUCUACUGACUUGCCUUGUCUUGGCCUCCAUUGGGGAUUGUGGCAUAUUUCUGUGCCCAGUACCUAAGUUAUGUGACUCUUCUUUCCUGCUUGUGCAUUUAGAAGGGAUUGUGACAUAUUGCUGGGCCAAGAACCUAGGUGAUGUGACUCUCCUGCCUUGGCCCUGCCUUCAGGAAAAAUUGUGAUGUGACUCUGGGUUUAUUACCUAGAUGAUGUGACUCUUGUGUUCUGCAUGGGCAAGCCCAAAGGGGUCAUUGUGGCAUAUCUCUGGGCACAUCAAAGAAGUGGUGUAAUUUUUCUCUCAUUCCAGGACUCUAGUCUCAGUAGGGAUUGUGACAUAUCACUGGGCCCAUAACCUAUGUCAUGUGAUUCUAGUAUCCUGCUUGGGCCCUGCUUACAGGAAAGAUUGUGACAUUUGGCUGGGCCCAUCACCUAGUUAAUGUGACUCUCCUUUUCUUCCUGUGCCCUGCCCUCAGUGGAGAUUGUGACAAAUUUCUGGGCCAAUCAGCUGUGCAAUAUGACUCUGCUCUUUCCUGGGCCCUGCUAUCGGGGAGCAUUGUGACAUAUUGCCAGGCUCAGCACCUAGGUAAUGUGACUCUUCUUGCUGCCUGGGCCCUACUUACAGAAGGGAUUUUGAUGUAUUGCUGAACCAAGAAUUCAGAUGAUGUGACUCUCCUGCCUGUGCGCUGUCUACAGUGGGCAUUGUGACAUAUCAUUGGUGAUGUGACUCUCCUGCCUUGUUCCUGCCCACAGGUGAAAUUGUGGCAUAUACCUGGGUCCAGAUCACAGGCACAAUGAUGACUCUCUUACCUGGACACAGCCAGUGGGAAAUAUUUUGACUUUUGUAGCCAGGCUUAGGGCCACAGGUAAUGUCCUGGGUCUCUUACUUGUAUAAAAUUUACAGAACAUUACAACACUCAGGACUAUCAUAGGAAGACCUACAGUGAUACAGAGAGUUGAUAACAGGGCCUAGCUAACAGCUGAGAUUGUGACUCUCAUAUGCAGACCCAGCCUACAGGCUCUUCAUUCUUACACAUAAACAGAGCCUAUGAAUGUGGCACUUAAUCUCACACAUAAACACAGUUGCAAGUUGGAUUUGUUACUCUCAUAUGUGGAUCUGGUUUCCAGGUGGUUUGGUGACUCUCAAACCAUGAUUCAGCAGACCUGUGAGGCUGUGAGUUCCCUAUCAGAACACAAUCUGCAGGUGAGAUUGGGGCUGUUGUGCAUGGAUUUGUGCAUUGUUGAGACUGUAACUCCUUUACUUGAACCCCACUCACAGGAGGGGUUGCCUCUCAUACAUGAAGCCAGGACUCGUGUGAAACUGUGAAACUCAUUUCUGUACAUUCCCAAGUGUGUGAUUGGGAAAUAUACCUUUGCCCAGAACCUGAGUGAUCUGACUGUUUCCUAGGCCCAGCCCACACAUAAAAUUGUGACAUAUACCUGGGCCACCCACCUAAGUAACGUGAAACUCCUUCCUGGGCCCUGCCUGCCAAGGGCAUUUUUACAUUUCACUGUGACCAGCAUCCACCCAGGUGCUGUGACUCCCCUGCCUGGUACCUGCCUACAAAGAGCAUUGUGACUUAUUUCUGGGUUCAUUAUGUAGGUGAUGUGACUUCAUUCUACUGCCUUGGCUCUGUGCUUAGAGUGCAUUGUGACAUUUAGCUGGGUACUGCACCCACAUAAUGUGACUCUCCUGACUGAGUUCUUCCUACAGGAAGCAUUGGAACAUAUCACUUAGCCCAGCACCUAGGUGGAUGGGAUUCCCUUUCUUGCCUGGUCCCUGCCCACUGGAGAGAUUGUGACCCAUUGCUGAGCCCAGCACCAAGGUGAUGUCACUCUCCUGCCUUGGCCAUGCCCAUGAGGGCCACUGUGACACCUGUCUAGGCUAAUUACUUAGGUGAAGUGAGUCUCCUUUCCUGCCUAAGCUCUGCCUACAAGGGGGAUUUUGAUAUAUCACUGGGCCCAGCAGCCAGGUGAUGUGACUCUUCUGCCAGGGUCCUGCCUACAAGGGGGAUUGUGACAUGUCUCUGGACCAGCACCCAAGUGAUGUGUCUUUUCUGGCCUUUCCCUCCCCACAGGUUGUAUUGUGCCAUAUACCUGGGACCAAAUUACAAGCACAAUGAUGAAUCUUUUACCUGGAGUCAAGACAUGGGCAGGAUGAUGGAACUUAUCACUGGACCUUUCCACAGUGUUAUUGUGACAUAUGCCUUUGCCCAACAUGUGGUGAUUUGACUCCCCAGACUGGGUCCAGUUCACAAAUAAAAUUGUGCCGUAUACUUGGCCAAGAACCUAAUAGGUGUAAUUGAUGUGCCUGGG